rnacentral:rRNA from 1 species
UACAGAGGGUGCGAGCGUUAAUCGGAAUUACUGGGCGUAAAGCGUGCGUAGACGGUUAUUUAAGUCGGGUGUGAAAGCCCCGGGCUCAACCUGGGAAUUGCAUUCGAGACUGAAUAGCUAGGGUACGGUAGAGGGAAGUGGAAUUUCCGGUGUAGCGGUGAAAUGCGUAGAUAUCGGAAGGAACAUCAGUGGCGAAAGCGACUUCCUGGACCAGUACCGACGUUCAGGCACGAAAGCGUGGGGAGCAAAC